rnacentral:rRNA from 1 species
CAGUCGCCACGGGAAAACGGAGAGUGCAAGCGUUAAUCGGAAUUACUGGGCGUAAAGCGCACGCAGGCGGUUUGUUAAGUCAGAUGUGAAAUCCCCGAGCUUAACUUGGGAACUGCAUCUGAAACUGGCAAGCUAGAGUCUUGUAGAGGGGGGUAGAAUUCCAGGUGUAGCGGUGAAAUGCGUAGAGAUCUGGAGGAAUACCGGUGGCGAAGGCGGCCCCCUGGACAAAGACUGACGCUCAGGUGCGAAAGCGUGGGGAGCAAACAGGAUUAGAUACCCCGGUAGUCCCUGUCUCUUAUAC